CAAGAGGCCCCCAGGUUGUGAGACCAUGAGGACCAGCUUCCAGCCUCCUACACUCUGAAGUUCUGGAUGGUCUGAGGGUCCCCCAGAGCCCCUGGGAUAAUAGAUGGAGAGAUGAGAGUAGAGACUGUCUGUAACUUUGCCCAAGGCUGCACUGGGGCAGAAUUGAGACUCAAGGAAGGGACCUAGGGAGUGGAUUUCCAGAGCUGGAGCUGCUGUAAAUGUCCGUGGAUCUCUAAGCUCUCUCAGAAAAGUACUUGAUGAGAGGCCCUGACUUGUCCCGAAAGUCUGGA